AGAGUUUGAUCAUGGCUCAGAACGAACGCUGGCGGCGUGGAUUAGGCAUGCAAGUCGCACGAGAACCAUGGUUUAGGUUAUGGGGAGAGUGGCGAAAGGGUGAGUAACGCGUGGGGAACUUACCCCUAAGUUGGGAAUAACAUCGCCAACGCGAUGCUAAUACCGAAUGGGGCGGAAUCUCCGAUUGGAAUUUUCGCUAAAGGUAAUGUAAAUUAUUGCUUAGGGAGAGACCCGCGUCCUAUUAGCUAGUUGGUAAGGUAACAGCUUACCAAGGCAACGAUGGGUAGCCGGCUUGAGAGAGUGGUCGGUCACAUGGGCACUGAGAUACGGGCCCAACUCCUACGGGAGGCAGCAGUCGAGAGGCUUCCACAAUGGACGAAAGUCUGAUGGAGCGACGCCGCGUGGGUGAUGACGCUUUUCGAAGUGUAAAACCCUGUUGUGUGGGACGAAGGAUAGGAUGUAAUCUUGUUUUGACGGUACCGCACCAGAAAGCCACGGCUAACUCCGUGCCAGCAGCCGCGGUAACACGGGGGUGGCGAGCGUUGUUCGGAAUUACUGGGCGUAAAGGGUGUGUAGGUGGGGAGGUAAGUCAGGCGUGAAACCCAACGGCUCAACCGUUGGUCUGCAUUUGAAACUGUUUCUCUUGAGUACGGAAGAGGAGAGCGGAAUUCUCGGUGUAGCGGUGGAAUGCGUUGGUAUCGAGAAGAACACCGGUGGCGAAGGCGGCUCUCUGGCCCGAUACUGACACUGAGGCACGAAAGCUAGGGGAGCGAACAGGAUUAGAUACCCUGGUAGUCCUAGCUGUAAACGAUGGGUACUAGGUGUUGGGGGUUUUAAAUCUCCAGUGCCGUAGCUAACGCAUUAAGUACCCCGCCUGGGGAGUACGACCGCAAGGUUGAAACUCAAAGGAAUUGACGGGGCCCCGCACAAGCGGUGGAGCAUGUGGUUUAAUUCGAAGCAACGCGAAGAACCUUACCCGGACUUGACAUUGCUUUGAAAGCUGUAGAGAUACGGCAUCCUCGUAAGAGGCAAAGUGACAGGUGUUGCAUGGCUGUCGUCAGCUCGUGUCGUGAGAUGUUGGGUUAAGUCCCGCAACGAGCGCAACCCUUGUCCCUAGUUGCUAUCGGUUUGGCCGGGCACUCUAGGGAGACUGCCGAGAUAACAACUUGGAGGAAGGUGGGGACGACGUCAAGUCAUCACGGCCCUUACGUCCGGGGCUACACACGUGCUACAAUGGCCAGUACAAAGGGCUGCGAUGCCGCGAGGUGGAGCUAAUCCCAUAAAGCUGGUCUCAGUUCGGAUUGGAGUCUGCAACUCGACUCCAUGAAGUCGGAAUCGCUAGUAAUCGUGGAUCAGCACGCCGCGAUGAAUACGUUCCCGGGGCUUGUACACACCGCCCGUCAAGCGAUGAAAGCUGGAGGUACCCGAAGUCGCUAACCUAACCGUAAGGAAGGAGGUGCCGAAGGUAAAUCCAGUGAUUGGCGCUAAGUCGUAACAAGGUA
rnacentral:rRNA from 1 species